AUUGAACGCUGGCGGCAGGCUUAACACAUGCAAGUCGAGCGAGCGGCGGACGGGUGAGUAAUGUCUGGGAAACUGCCUGAUGGAGGGGGAUAACUACUGGAAACGGUAGCUACUACCGCAUACCAUCAGAUGUGCCCAGAUGGGAUUAGCUAGUAGGUGGGGUAAUGGCUCACCUAGGCGACGAUCCCUAGCUGGUCUGAGAGGAUGACCAGCCACACUGGGACUGAGACACGGUCCAGACGCCUACGGGAGGCAGCAGUGGGGAAUAGUGCGCAAUGGGGGAAACCCUGACGCAGCCAUGCCGCGUGUAUGAAGAAGGCCUUCGGGUUGUAAAGUACUUUCAGCGAGGAGGCGUUACUCGCAGAAGAAGCACCGGCUAACUCCGUGCCAGCAGCCGCGGUAAUAC
rnacentral:rRNA from 1 species